rnacentral:lncRNA from 1 species
UCCGUUUGGAAACAAAGUCGGCUCAGCCGCGCAAGGCGCAACGAGAAAAGCUGCAUUUUGUAAGCGCGACAAGUUCAACUUUACGGUGCGAGCCAUUCGCGCGGCUCCGAGACCCGCCAACCUGGAAAGCUCAUUCACUAAUAGAGCGAACGCGCGUAAUGCAGUCGGCGCCUAAUCAAGCGUUGAGCCAAUCAAUUUAGUCAACACACUCCUCGCCUUGAUUUUCUGUUGAAUUAAUUUUGAUUUGCGUUUGAAAAGUGCGCGGCGCGAUCGAGCACCUCCUCCCGUAAAUUUUGAAGAAGAAUUCCAGCUUUUUUCGCCCGAAGAUUCGAGUGCGUGCGCAAUCGUCGUAAGAUCAUUGAAUCUCGGUGCGUCAGGGUACGAAAAGUCUCUUCGAUGUUUUUCACGAAUUAUGCGAUGAAAUAUACGCUCGCGUGGCUAGUUCAAAAUAUUUAAGUAAAAAUUAGAAGAGUCACCCAUUCGCGUGUAAAAUCUAGUGAUUGUUGUGCAAGUGCAGUGUCUUUUUACUGAUAUGCAGUGCACGCAGUUUUCAUCAAUGUCCUGAGAAUUGAUGCAGUUUCUCUAGUGUAGCGUUAUUUAUGAAUUGGAUCAUUUGGACUUCCUGAGGAGAGCGGAAAAUGUAACAUCUGAAAGGAGUAGUCCGUCAGGUAGCGGUGAUUAUUGGCAUGAUGUUGACGAUGAGCUGCGGCGAACUUGGUCUCUCUCCGGCAUGGACUCGGCCGAUGUGGUCUAUAACUAUAUCGCACCUCUUCACUCAACUUUCGGAAGGAAGCGUGCUAUGACGGAUAGCUCAGUUUGUGGAUUCAUCGAUGCCAAAGUCCAACUAAAGGCAAACGUUUUGGACCAUGGAAGUCCUGGAGGAGACAGUGGUGUAUGGUGAAAAGAAUCGGCAAUCGACUUGAAGUACAGUUAAGUACCCACAAAGGACACGUCACAAACAAAAUAAAU